rnacentral:rRNA from 1 species
UACGUAGGUCCCGAGCGUUGUCCGGAUUUAUUGGGCGUAAAGCGAGCGCAGGUGGUUUAUUAAGUCUGGUGUAAAAGGCAGUGGCUCAACCAUUGUAUGCAUUGGAAACUGGUAGACUUGAGUGCAGGAGAGGAGAGUGGAAUUCCAUGUGUAGCGGUGAAAUGCGUAGAUAUAUGGAGGAACACCGGUGGCGAAAGCGGCUCUCUGGCCUGUAACUGACACUGAGGCUUGAAAGCGUGGGGAGCGAACAGG